rnacentral:rRNA from 1 species
AUUGAACGCUGGCGGCAGGCUUAACACAUGCAAGUCGAGCGGAGAUGAGGUGCUUGCACCUUAUCUUAGCGGCGGACGGGCAAGUAAUGCUUAGGAAUCUGCCUAUUAGUGGGGGACAACAUUCCGAAAGGAAUGCUAAUACCGCAUACGUCCUACGGGAGAAAGCAGGGGAUCUUCGGACCUUGCGCUAAUAGAUGAGCCUAAGUCGGAUUAGCUAGUUGGUGGGGUAAAGGCCUACCAAGGCGACGAUCUGUAGCGGGUCUGAGAGGAUGAUCCGCCACACUGGGACUGAGACACGGCCCAGACUCCUACGGGAGGCAGCAGUGGGGAAUAUUGGACAAUGGGGGGAACCCUGAUCCAGCCAUGCCGCGUGUGUGAAGAAGGCCUUAUGGUUGUAAAGCACUUUAAGCGAGGAGGAGGCUACUGAGACUAAUACUCUUGGAUAGUGGACGUUGCUCGCAGAAUAAGCACCGGCUAACUCUGUGCCAGCCGCCGCCGUAAGAC